GGAGAUUGCUUCGGUAAUUGACCUAGCGGCGGACGGGUGAGUAAUACUUAGGAAUCUGCCUAUUAAUGGGGGACAACAUCUCGAAAGGGAUGCUAAUACCGCAUACGCCCUACGGGGGAAAGCAGGGGAUCACUUGUGACCUUGCGUUAAUAGAUGAGCCUAAGUCGGAUUAGCUAGUUGGUGGGGUAAAGGCCUACCAAGGCGACGAUCUGUAGCGGGUCUGAGAGGAUGAUCCGCCACACUGGGACUGAGACACGGCCCAGACUCCUACGGGAGGCAGCAGUGGGGAAUAUUGGACAAUGGGGGGAACCCUGAUCCAGCCAUGCCGCGUGUGUGAAGAAGGCCUUAUGGUUGUAAAGCACUUUAAGCGAGGAGGAGGCUCUUUUGGUUAAUACCCAAGAUGAGUGGACGUUACUCGCAGAAUAAGCACCGGCUAACUCUGUGCCAGCAGCCGCGGUAAUACAGAGGGUGCGAGCGUUAAUCGGAUUUACUGGGCGUAAAGCGUGCGUAGGCGGCUUUUUAAGUCGGAUGUGAAAUCCCCGAGCUUAACUUGGGAAUUGCAUUCGAUACUGGGGAGCUAGAGUAUGGGAGAGGAUGGUAGAAUUCCAGGUGUAGCGGUGAAAUGCGUAGAGAUCUGGAGGAAUACCGAUGGCGAAGGCAGCCAUC
rnacentral:rRNA from 1 species